rnacentral:lncRNA from 1 species
UUUCCAAAGAUGGAUGCAAAUGCUGGGAAAGCAAGAGUUGAAUUGCUAGCCAUGAGGAAAACGUAAGCCUGAGCUGUUUGCUGGCCAUCUUUGCUUCCACAUGGGGAUGGCCUGCCUGGAAAUGAAGCCACACAGAGAAAACAGAAGAGCAGUGAAGAGAAGGGUAAAAGGAGAGAUCCCAUGACAUGAUUUGCACUCUUAGAUCCAGUUAUGCCUGAUGCAGGACCCACCCCUUGGACUUCCCAUUUCCAGGAGCUAAAACUAGACUGAGUUGAGUUUCUGUCACUGACAGUUGACAGAAAAUAUCAACAAUCCAGCCACAUGGAGCCUCAUGGCAGUACCACUAACCCUGGUCACCACAUGAAUACUGACCAGAGGCAUUUCACCUGAAUCAACUGUUUGUGUUCUUAACUCCAUCUCCUCAUCUGCUUCCUGGAAGACCCAACUGACAUAGAUGGUUACAAGAAAUGAUUUCCUCCUUAUAAAACUCUAGAUGUCAAUGUGAUCUUUCACAAGCACACUGAAAAAUUCACACCGUGGAAAAGAACUAAAGUCCCAUCCUAAUUCAUCAGAGCCUUCUGUUUCCUGUAACAAAGAAGAACUCACAAGAUCAGGAUUCCAAGGUAUAUAUCUAGAAGUGGAAGUGCUGGGUUAUACGCUUCUUGUAUAGAAGAUACCUAAAAAGUGUUUGCUGAAUGAAGAAAUAAAG